rnacentral:tRNA from 1 species
GGAGAGGUGCCGGAGCGGCUGAACGGACUGGUUUCGAAAACCAGCGUGGAGCAAUCUACCGGGGGUUCAAAUCCCUCCCUCUCCGCCA